UACGGAGGGUGCAAGCGUUAUCCGGAUUCACUGGGGUUAAAGGGUGCGUAGGAGGGCAGGUAAGUCAGUGGUGAAAUCCUAGAGCUUAACUCUAGAACUGCCGUUGAUACUAUCUGUCUUGAAUCCCGUGGAGAUGAGCGGAAUAUGUCAUGUAGCGGUGAAAUGCUUAGAUAUGACAUAGAACACCAAUUGCGAAGGCAGCUCGUUACACGAAGAUUGACUCUGAGGCACGAAAGCGUGGGGAUCAAACAGG
rnacentral:rRNA from 1 species